CUUAUACUCCCUCCGUCAGAAAAUACUUGUUCUAUAAAUGGAUAUAAUGGAUGUAUCUAUAANNAAAAUAAGUCUAGAUACAUUCAUCUCUAGGACAAUUAUUUCCGAACGAAGAGAGUAUAUA
rfam:Hordeum vulgare subsp. vulgare, WGS project CAJW01000000 data, contig: morex_contig_62677